rnacentral:miRNA from 1 species
CUCCAGAUGUUGCUGAACUACAACUCCCAUGAUUCUAUGAAUUAAAUAGAUGGGCUGAGAAUCAUGGGAGUUGUAGUUCAGCAACAUCUGGAG